rnacentral:rRNA from 1 species
GAUCAGUGCUAGGAUGAACGCUAGCUACAGGCUUAACACAUGCAAGUCGAGGGGCAGCGGGAUUGAAGCUUGCUUCAAUUGCCGGCGACCGGCGCACGGGUGAGUAACGCGUAUCCAACCUUCCGUACACUCAGGGAUAGCCUUUCGAAAGAAAGAUUAAUACCUGAUGGUAUCUUAAGCACACAUGUAAUUAAGAUUAAAGAUUUAUCGGUGUACGAUGGGGAUGCGUUCCAUUAGGUAGUAGGG